rnacentral:rRNA from 1 species
AUGGUGAACAAGCUUCUACCUGCCAUCAAGGCUUUGUGGCCGGCUUCGGAACGCGGACGCAUAAUAUACAUUCAGCAAGAUAAUGCAAAGACCCAUAUUGAUGUGAAUGACAGUGUGUUUUGUGCAGCGACACAGGCGGAUGGAUGGGAUAUUAGGCUUACAUGUCAGCCGCCGGACUCACCUGAUUUGAACAUUCUUGACUUAGGGUUCUUUGCGGCACUUCAGGCUCUUUUUGAGAAGAUGUCCCCUGGUAAAAUUGUUGAUAUUGUUGCAAAGGUGAAAAAAGCAUAUGACACGUACCCGACUGAGGGAAGCAACCGUAUUUUUCUUACCCUUCAGUCAUGCAUGUGCGAGGUACUGAAGCAGAAAGGAGGUAACCGGUACAAGGUUCCGCACAUGAGGAAGUCAUUUCUGGCGGCACUCGAAAUGCUUCCGGACGUAGUACCCUGCGAUGCUGAUGUUGUAAUUGCUGCUAUUGAAGCCCUUCCAGAUGCUUGA